GCCACUUUAGCUCAGCUGGUAGAGCAAUUGUUUCGUAAACAAGAGGUCGCAGGUUCGAAUCCCGUAAGUGGCACCA
rnacentral:tRNA from 1 species